GCCAGGUGUGGUGGUGCAUGCCUGUAAUCCUAGCAGCUCAAGAGGCUGAGGCAGGAGGAUCACAAAUUCAAAAUUCAAAGCCAGCCUCAGCAACUUAGUGAAGCUCUAAGCAACUCAGGGAGACCCUGUCUUUA
rnacentral:sRNA from 1 species